rnacentral:rRNA from 1 species
CCUGGUUGAUCCUGCCAGUAGUCAUAUGCUUGUCUCAAAGAUUAAGCUAUGCAUGUGUAAGUAUGAACUAUUUCAGACUGUGAAACUGCGAAUGGCUCAUUAAAUCAGUUAUAGUUUGUUUGAUGGUACGUGCUCCUCGGAUAAACGUAGUAAUUCUAGAGCUAAUACGUGCAACAAACCCCGACUUUCGGAAGGGAUGCAUUUAUUAGAUAAAAAGGCUGGCGUGGGCUUUGCCGCUGCUCGAUGAUUCAUGAUAACUUCGCCGGAUCGCUUGCGACCCUCGUCUUUGGCGGACGCAUCAUUCAAAUUUCUGCCCUAUCAACUUUCGAUGGUAGGAUAGGGGCCUACCAUGGUGGUGAUGGGUGACGGAGAAUUAGGGUUUGAUUCGGGAGGGAGCACGAGAAGCGGCUACCACAUCAAGGAAGGCAGCAGGCGCGCAAAUUACCCAAUCGACGCGGGGAGGUAGUGACAAUAAAUAACAAUACCGGGCUCUUUGAGUGCGGUAGUGGAAUAAGUACAAUCUAAAUCCCUUAAGCGAGGAUCCAUUGGAGGGCAAGUCGGUGCCGGCAACGCAUGGUAAUUCCAGCUCAAUAGCGUAUAUUUAAGUUGUUGCAGGUUAAAAGCUUCGUAGUUGGACUUUGGGGCGGGUCGGUCGGUCCGCCUCGCGGUGUGCACCGGUCGUCCCAUCCCCUCUGUCGGCGAUCGUGCCUGGCCUUAACUGGCGGGUCGUGCCUCCGUGCUAUUACUUUGAAGAAAUUAGAGUGCUCAAAAGCAAAUUAGAGUGCUCAAAGCAGAGUGCUUUCAAAGCCCCGCGCUCUGGAUACAUUAGCAUGGGAUAACAUCACGGGAUUUCGGUCCUAUUGUGUUGGCCGCCGGGAUCAGGUAAUGAUUAAGAGGGACGGUCGGGGCAUUCGUAUUUCAUAGUCAAAGGUGAAAUUCUUGGAUUUAUGAAAAGGCGAACCACUGCGAAAGCAUUUGCCAAGGAUGUUUUCAUUAAUCAAAAGCGAAAGUUGGGGGCUCGAAGGCGAUCGGAUACCGUCCUAGUCUCAACCAUAAGCGAUGCCGACCGGGGAUCGGCGGAUGUUGCUCUUAGGACUCCAUGACACCUUAUGAGAAAUCAAAGUCUUUGGGUUCGGGGAGUAUGGUCGCAUGGCUGAAACUUUAAAGGAAUUGACGGAAGGGCACCACGGGGAGUGGAGCCUGCGGCUUAAUUUGACUCAACGGGAAACUUACCAAGGUCGGACAUAGCAAGGAUUGAUGACUGAGAGCUCUUUCUUGAUUCUAUGGGUGGUGGUGCAUGGUCAUUCUUAGUUGGUGGGCGAUUUGUGCGGUUAAUUCCGAUAGCGAAGCGAGACCUCGACUGCUAACUAGCUACUGCGGAGGCAUCCCCGCGGCCAGCUUCUUAGAGGGACAAUGGCGUUUUAGCCCACGGAAGUUUGAGGCAAUAACAGGUCUGUGAUGCCCUUAGAUGUUCUGGGCGCCGCACUACACUGAUGUAUUCAACGAGUCUAUAGCCUUGGCCGACGGGCCGGGUAAUCUUUGAAAAUUUCAUCGUGAUGGGGAUAGAUCAUUGCAAUUGUUGGUCUUCAACGAGGAAUUCCUAGUAAGCGCGAGUCAUCGGCUCGCGUUGACUACGUCCCUGCCCUUUGUACACAUCGCCCGUCACUCCUACCGAUUGAAUGGUCGGUGAAGUGUUGGAUCGGCGGCGAAGGCGGUUAGCCGCCCGCGGCGUCAUGAAGUCCACUGAACCUUAUCAUUUAGAGGAAGGAGAAGUCGUAACAAGGUUUCCGUGGUGAGUGAACCUGCGGAAG